AACGACUCUCGGCAACGGAUAUCUCGGCUCUCGCAUCGAUGAAGAACGUAGCGAAAUGCGAUACUUGGUGUGAAUUGCAGAAUCCCGUGAACCAUCGAGUUUUUGAACGCAAGUUGCGCCUCAAGCCGCAAGGUAAGGGCACGUCUGCCUGGGUGUCACGC
rnacentral:rRNA from 1 species